rnacentral:rRNA from 1 species
CCUACGGGAGGCAGCAGUGGGGAAUAUUGGGCAAUGGGCGCAAGCCUGACCCAGCCACGCCGCGUGAAGGAAGAAGGCUCUCUGGUUGUAAACUUCCUUUUAGAGGGAAGAGCAGACGACGGUACCUCUUGAUUAAGCCACGGCUAACUACGUGCCAGCAGCUGCGGUAAUACGGAGGUGGCAAGCGUUGUCCGGAUUUACUGGGUGUAAAGGGUGUGCAGCCGGGAAGACAAGUCAGAUGUGAAAGCCCGCGGCUAAACCGCGGAACUGCAUUUGAAACUGGUUUUCUUGAGUACCGGAGAGGUCGUCGGAAUUCCUUGUGUAGCGGUGAAAUGCGUAGAUAUAAGGAAGAACACCAGUGGCGAAGGCGGAUGACUGGACGGCAACUGACGGUGAGGCGCGAAAGCGUGGGGAGCAAACAGGAUUAGAUACCCUAGUAGUC